rnacentral:rRNA from 1 species
GCAUCGAUGAAGAACGCAGCAAAGUGCGAUAUGUACUGCGCUGUGCGCGAAUUGCGCAGUCAUUCUUCGAAUACACAUUGUCCUGUCUGGCAAACAGCCGGCAGGGCAUCUGCUUCAGGGUUGUUGAUUAGUUUAGCGCGACGCCGUUUACGGUUGUCAGCGUUCUCGAGGGUGUCGCCGCCCCGUGCGUCCCCUCCCGUUGUGUGUCCCCGUCGCUCACGCUUCUGUGGACUUGGGUGUUUGGCAGUCUGGUUCAUUGCUCGCAGUGUUCCGCUUGUUGCUUCUCCCCUUUUGAUAAUACCCGACCUGAAGUCAGGUGUGAGUACCCGCUGAACUUAAGCAUAUCAAUAAGCGGAGGA